rnacentral:rRNA from 1 species
GUACACGCUGUGACUAGCAUAUCAAUAAGCGGAGGAAAAGAAACUAACAAGGAUUCCCCUAGUAACGGCGAGUGAAGCGGGAAGAGCUCAAAUUUGAAAUCUUAAAGGGUUUCCCUUUACGAAUUGUAGUUUAAAGAAGUGUUUUCUGUUGAGGUUUUGGUAAAAGUUCUUUGGAAUAGGACAUCAUAGAGGGUGAGAAUCCCGUAUUUGACCUUUACUUUCAACUUUGUGAUACACUUUCAAAGAGUCGGAUUGUUUGGGAAUGCAGUCCAAAAUGGGUGGUAAAUUUCAUCUAAAGCUAAAUAUUGGCGAGAGACCGAUAGCGAACAAGUACCGUGAGGGAAAGAUGAAAAGAACUUUGAAAAGAGAGUUAAACAGUACGUGAAAUUGUCAAGAGGGAAGCGUUUGACACCAGUGUUGUUUUUCUGAAAAUCAAUUAAAGAACUGUUUAUGCUAAGCUUGUUUAGACUUUAUCAGCUAAUCUGUUUAGUUUUGAGCUUUUCUUUAAUGCACUUUUCAGUUAACAAGUCAACAUCAAUUUCUUUUGCUGUAAAAAAGCUUGAGGAAGGUGGCUUGAGAUUCGUCUUAAGUGUUUAUAGCCUCUUGCCUAUGCAGUCGGAGAGAUUGAGGUCUGCAGCGUAGAUCCUUCGGGGCUAAAUGCAUUUGUGCUAAGUUAUAGCAUUUUAUAGACAACUUGUUGACUAUGAUUUGUCUUGUAGCUUACUCGCUUAUGUUAUUUUACCUACGCUUAGGAUGUUGAAGAUGUAGCACAUCAU